GUAACCCUUCUCUUGUUCCUUACCCUCAUUGUCAUUUUUGUUAACUGUUUGCAUUUGCAUAAAUAAUACAUAUUUGUGAAUUAAAAAAUUAGGUCCAAGUCGUCUACUAGAAAUUAUGACCCAAUAAUAUUUGAAGAGAUUGAAAAUGGAAAUGAAGUUUGGAUUUUAGAAGACAAUCCACCUUGCCUUAACUCUGAAGAGCUAGAAGCGUUUCGCACUAAAUUGGAUGAGCUGACUAUACAUGAAUCUGAUGAUUUCGAGCUUAACUUGGAUAUGCUGGAGACUGAUGCCCUUGAUGAAAGUGAUGAGAUUAUGGAGGACCGUAGGCAUGAAGAUGCAUAUGAUUAUGGUGGAAUUGCAAUUGAAGUUGGAGGAGCAGAUGCAGAACCUCAAGUUGAUUACGAUCCAUUAAAUUUUUAUUGAGUGCCAUGCUUCAUGUGUUUCUAUCUUAUUAUUACGCACUUGUUAUUUGAAUUUUUGAACUUGUGGCUGUGGGCUAUAGCCUGUGAAGGUGAUUGCAAGACUAUGUCUAUGUCUGAUGUGUGACGGUGUGAGACACUGAGAUCUUAUGUCCAGUGUAUGUUGGCAUGUUGCUAUGAACUUUAUGUUUAGUGUAUGUUGCUAUGAAGUAUAAACUAUUCAAUUAUCUUGUU